GCUCCGAGGCCGGGUGCGCUAAUGACAGCCCCGCCCCGCGCGCCUUUGAAGUGGGUGCCGCUGCGCCGCCGGCUCGCAUCCCGCUAAUGGCAGCUUCCCCUCGGGCCCGCUGCUGGUUGCUAAGUUUCCCUGGGUCUUUUCAGCAGGUUGUAUGGGAAAUUACAGUGCAGCGCCCAGGAGAAGGUUUUCUUCAGGGAAAUCAAUUUCUGCAACUUAAGAGUUUUUCACCUAGAUGAGAAAAAGCACCAGCUCAGGACAAUGAGACAAAGGUGCAUGUUUUGUAAACAUAUUCAACAAACUUCUAGAAAGAUACGAUGAUCCUAUUGUGGAAAUGUUGGAACGCGUCCUCUUUCAAGGAAACACAUGCAGAAAUAUCUAGAGUGAAGGUCAUAUUAAGAAUUUAUGUCCAGAUGGCUCAACAGACAAAAUGUUCACCCAGGCGCUUGCAGACAUGUGAGAGAAGCAACACAACACGUCCUCACCCAUGGGUGCAUCAAGGCAAAGUAAAUGUUUGGUCAAGUUUUCUGUAGAAUUGAAAAGUUUUAAAGAAGUGUUGCAAGAAGAAGGCUGAAACAUUUUCACAAAUGAGACCCAGUUUGUCUGUGGAAAACGAAUUCUUAACACUAAAGUCUUCUAGAGCAUGGAAAAGCAUGGAGAGCGCUUGAGUUGGUUUUAUCAAGCGAGCAUGACCUUCACAUCACCCGAUGAUCAAGAUAGUAAGUUCACGAACUGAUUACACGUUAUUGAAUGCCAGGAUACAGGGCUGAGCCCAGAGAGGCAUAGUCUGGGUGCCUGGAGUUUCCAGCCUGGGGAGAAAGACACAUGUCAUUCACAGGAUCACCUCAACAGUGAUCAAAGGGGCCCAAAGGAGAGGUGGAGGAGGUGUGCUGAGAGCCCCUAACAAGGAGGCUUUCCCCAGAGGAGUUAAUUAGGCCAAGGAGAGACAAGGGUGUCGAGAGAGAGCCCAACCUGGGAACAACCCUGGUAGGAAGAGGCACAUCUAGGUUGUGCUGGAGCCUGGAGGGGGGCCGUGUGUAUAGGGGGUGACAGUGCAGCGGGGUUUGGGCAGGUUCAAAGCCCAGGGCCUUGUAGGCCAUGCCCCAAACACUGUCUUUAUUUGGGUAGCAGUGGGAAGCCAGAAGGGAGACCAGUCUGGCCAGGUUUGGGUUCUGCAGAGAUUGCUCGCACCAGGCGGAGGUCCAGAGGGUACAGGACCCAGCCGAACGGUGACAGUGUGGAAUGAAAGUGGCCAGACCAGGAAGGUGACGGGUUGUAGGAGGCAGAGGUGUCUGGGGGUAAACUCAGAGGGACUUCCUGAGGGAGGUGUCAAGGAUGAGUUCUGGGUUUCUGGCCUGGAGCCCUGGGUGAGGAGUUGUUGGACCGUGCCUUUGUGACACCCAGGAGGGUGUCAGGGGAGCAGCCUGGUGCUCAGCAUAGAGGUGGAGCUGAGACACACAUUUUUCAGUCUACGGGAAGAUGGGAGCCUGAGAGGUUACCUAGAGAGAGAGCAAGGAGAAGAACGUGAGUAGGAAGGCAGCAUUCUAAUGAACUGUUGGUUGGAGUCCCACAACAUUUUGCAAGUAAAAUGCACCAUGACCCCUGUGCUUUAUGCCAGGAAUGUAAGGGUGGCUCAGCAUUAGGGAAGAGAGCACUGUAAUUCAGUCCACUGACAAGUUAACAUAGAAAACACAUGAAGUCAUAUCAAUUGAUGUGCAAAAGCAUUUGAGGGAUACAAACACAGUGAUCCGAAGGGGCACCUGCCCCCCAAUGUUUAUAGCAGCAAUGUCCACAAUAG